rnacentral:rRNA from 1 species
AUUGAACGCUGGCGGCAGGCCUAACACAUGCAAGUCGAGCGGAUGACGGGAGCUUGCUCCUUGAUUCAGCGGCGGACGGGUGAGUAAUGCCUAGGAAUCUGCCUGGUAGUGGGGGACAACGUUUCGAAAGGAACGCUAAUACCGCAUACGUCCUACGGGAGAAAUCAGGGGACCUUCGGGCCUUGCGCUAUCAGAUGAGCCUAGGUCGGAUUAGCUAGUUGGUGGGGGAAUGGCUCACCAAGGCGACGAUCCGGAACUGGUCUGAGAGGAUGAUCAGGCAGACUGGAACUGAGACACGGUCCAGACUCCUACGGGGGGCAGCAGUGGGGAAUAUUGGGCAAUGGGCGAAAGCCUGAUCCAGCCAUGGCGCGUGGGUGAAGAAGGUCGUCGGAUUGUAAAGCACUUUAAGUUGGGAGGAAGGGCAGUUAGCUAAUACCUUGCUGUUUUGACGUUACCGACAGAAUAAGCACCGGCUAACUCUGUGCCAGCCGCCGCAGUAAGAC